ensembl:lincRNA
GUAAUUUGCCAUGGGACAGGCACAUCCCAUGUAUUUGGGAAGACAAUGGGAAGGUUCUGUUUUCUGCUCCAAGACUGAUUUAACCAGUUGGAUCUGGAAGGGGAUAAAGGGCCCUGUGGCUGCUUGAUUUUCAUUGUCUAGUGGCAGCCAAAGUUGGAAAAGAGAGAAGUGCAGGCUUUAAAGGCAAGCAGCAACAGCUCAUCAGCGGUCUAACAACACGACAGAUGACAGGCCCAGAGGCACACCCAGGGCCGCCAGCCCAUCAGCCUGUGCAGGAUGUCAGAGAGCAGCUGCAGCAAUGGAAGAAGAUCAUCCAGACUUGAAUGUUUGGGCCUUGCUAAGACCAUAGAGUCUUUGUGCUUUGGAAACAGUCCUCCAUACAGAAACCCCUUCCUAGAAAAGCGUGGAAACAAACCAGGUUAGAAUGGACACAAGAGAAAGGAGACCAUGCUAAUACUCUUGUGCAAUGCUUCCUGGGCAGGAAUUAUGUCAUAAAGGAUGUUCCAUUCUGCAAAGCCAUGUCUCUCUCUCUGUGGUUUGCCUCAGAGGAGGGGCCUUUCAUAGCUGUAGUGAGUAAAGGGGAUCUCGCUGAUGUUCAUCAGAUAUGCCAAGGCACAGGAAGAAAGCAUUGAGGUCACAGGGCAGCUCAGGUCCACCUGUGGUAAUUGAAAACGGGUGAUGAGAUGGGGUUGAUUUUAGUUUGGAAAAGUAAAUUAGUGCUGCACCACUCGGACAUGGCUAACUCAGGAAGCCUCUGGCUUGUAUGAGACAUCCAACAUGCCUUUCGGAAAGAAAUGACACAACAAUUAAUGUGUCAAAUAAUAAUGUGCCACUCGAAGAAAGAUAAUUGUACCCAGCGUCAGGUAGUUAUUAGGUCAGAACGAAUGCUCAUCUUUUCAAAGGCAACAGCGUCUAUUCACUCUGGCAUCCUACUAGAAGAUGAUAAAUGGCUAAGCCUAUCAGCGGCUAUGGGGAUGGUUCCAGAGGAUCCAGCUGUCCCAGGACCCUCUGAUUAUUCCAGAGUGCUGAGAGAAUCAAUAACAUGGUGUUCCUGGAACCCGCCAAGGCUUGCUGCUGAGCUCUGCUCAAUUCAGCUCUUACCAACCUACCUUCUGCCUGCAUCACAAACUUGACUUGUUUCUACUCAAGGUCACUUAAGACUUACUUGCUGUUAAACAUAACAUACCCCUUCA